UAUACCUACUUAGGUCAAAUGAAAGGGUUUAUUUUUAUUCAUAUUUAGAAAAAUUCUGAGGCUCAUUAAGAUGAAUGCACUAUAAUCAAUUUAUAAUUUUUCAUUCAAGUUACAUCAAAUUAUACAAUUAUAUCAAAAUCAUGGAGCAAUGUGCUACUUCUUUUUCGUGAUAUUUCUUUUCUUGUUAUCUCCUAUUAAGAACUUUAACAAACAAAAAUUACAAUCCUUCAAGGUAGAGAUAUAUACAAUGUGGAUUUCUUUGUUUUGUUAGAAAAUACAUCUUUAUUGUUACCAAAUCUAGCACAAACAUUGCUUGUCUCUUAGAAAUAGAAGUGAAUAUGAAGUAUUCCAUUAAUAGUAUAACAUGGAGAACAAUCUCAGGAACAGACCUUUUUAUACAGACCUUUUGGUUCUUAUCUGUGUAGCUUCUAUAAUCCGAAACCACAUGCCUCUUUAAAUUCAAACCAGAUUUUGAGUGAAGUCUUGCUGGGAGCCCUUAGCAGGAAAAACCCACUGGCCUCACUAGAACCAUUAUAUUGGUUAUUCCAAACCACAACCGUUCUAUGUUUACUUCUCUUUGGAGUUUGAUGGGGCUGUGGUGGAUGAUCUAACACUUAAACAGACUGCGAUACAAAGACAAGUUAAAUAUGGUAAUAAUAGGCUAUCUGAGAUUUGAGUUUGUGAUUUCCCUAAGAAUAAAUCUGUGCGGUGUAAUAUGAUGUAAAGGUGUGUCAGUGAGUGUAUCAUUAUCAAAGGGUGGUGUAUGCAUCUCAAUAUUGUACUUUUCCUCUGAAAUACAACACAGAACCAACAAGAACCCACCCUUUUAAAAUCCAGACUGCACACUCAAACUAUGACCUCACUGAGAAGGUCAACUCCAAGCACUCUUUAAUGUUUGAGGAGAGGAUAUGCAACACAAAGUCAUUUCAGAUGAAUCUCCAUAAUGGUUUUAGGAAGCUGCCUGGAUAUGUUUAUCAUUUCUGAGAUGAUGCGAUUUAAUGUGUAUCUGAUAAGUAAGAAUCCCCUAUAGUCCCCAACAAGUAGCCUAACAUCCUUUGAUGAUAGAGCAGACCCGGUUCUACAGGGGUGCUUGAGGGUGCUAUAAGCACCAUCAAACAAAAGCAAGAGUACCCUCUGUUGAUACUGUAAUAAUAUCAUAUUGACUAAACAGAUUGACAAAUGCUUGUAUAAGUGCGUAUUUGUGUUUGCACUCUGGAGCACAUCAAGUGUAUCUAUUUACAAUGUGUUUUUGCAGCAGUGUGCAAUGUAGCCAAUCACAGACAUGUUUUUUGAUCUCUGGAACGCAUUGGCCAAUCAGAGGUGUUUAAUUUAGUCAAAAUCCACUCAACACUAGAGUUUUUGUUCAGCAAUGAGUUCCGUGCGCUGUCAAAGAACUUAUACUGACAAGAAGUGAAACUCAAUAGAACGUUCCAUUGCAACACCAGCACCCAGCAGCAGCCCUACACUUCCAACAUUUUGGGGUGAAAGCGACUCGGCAGUCCUCUAGUUUCUAUGGCAAUAUCAACUGCUUUGUUAAAAAAAAAAAAAAGUACAUUAAAGCUAAAAUCCAACCUGAAUGAUGACAACACAGAAUAAAAUACUAUCACUAGUGAUCAUCAAAUCCUUUUAACAGUUUAUUUUAUGGACUUUGUGUUUGGUAAGCGAAACAAGUGAAACAAGUGAAACUUUGUGCUUGGUAAGAGAAACAAGUGUCCAAUGAACGUUAAAAAACGUCAAUAACAACUAGUUGUUCAGUUCAGUUCCAUACACACUGCAUAGAAUUUCUGUAAAUGCGAUUGUCACUACCUGUAUUUUUCGGGAGUUAAUUCGGUUGUAGAAUGUGGUUGUCACUCCCGUAUUUUACAGAACUGUGUGUGUACAGAAUGCGAUUAAGCACUAAAAGGUGAACUGACAACCAAAUUUAGCUGCGGUGUGUACGUGGCCUUUGACGCUGUAAAUACGAGAUUCAUUGUGUAGUGUAGACAACUUCAUUGAUUAUAAAGAACAUUUGUGAGAUUGCGAUGAACUUAGAUGAAUGGCAGUUUUUUAGAGAUUAUAAAAAAGGGAGGCUACGCCUCCGAGGCUAUAGGCUAAUCCAUUGAAUAAAAGUUUUGUUUUUCAUGACGGCCAAUUACAAGCUGCAAAGUUUCGGAAGUGACGUCUAAAUAAAUAUAAAUAUUCUCGAAAAUGCAAUGAUUGACGUAGUUGAUUACCAUGUCACGGGACAAAAAUAUGACAUGUCAAAAUCUAUGCAUUACAAACAAUGCAAAUGCAGACUAGCCUAGAUCAAUACAAAAUAUUAACAUUUUUGUAUCAAAAUAUUUAUUUGUAAAAAUAAUGACUUGUAAAUAAUCUGAAAUGUUUCACUAUAUACAUUGCUAUUCUUGCUAUGGUGGAGCCGUUUGCUUACACAUUACAUGCACUUUACUAGAGCAGCCUUACUAAUUUCAGAAGCACCCUCAAUGAUUUGAUUCUUGAACCGGGCCUGUGCUAGAGCUUGAGAAAUUUAUAUAUAAAUAGACUAAAUAUUCAUCACAACUUUCUGUCCAAGGAGAAAGAAAGAAAGAUACAGGUUUAGAACAAUAUAUUAAUUCAUUCUUUUGGGUCCAUUUUUUAGAAGUGUUUUUGCGCCAUCGUGUGGCAACAUUUUUUAAUUAAAAAUACGUUUUCAUUUCUUUCUGACCUGGCAUUAAAGGUGCACAUGAGUCAUGACACUUUAAAACAAGAGGGGUUUUUAUAAAAUAUACAAAAUUACAAAAUCUUAACUUAUUACAUAUUCCAAGCUGAUAUGUCUAAAAGUAAACGUGUCCAGCUACACAGAAACAUGUUUAUGCUCUCUAUAUAUUGGAUAACAUCAAGUCACAUAGAUUGAAUUAUCCUUUUAUUUUGAAGCAGAUUUUGAUGCUAGAAAGAUAGGCCUACCUCUAAAAGAAACAGAACACUAAGCAUGAAAGACUUGCAUAUGGAUUUUCAUCUGCAUUGCUGAAAUUACAGAAAUAAGAGAAAAUUCUGGGUGGAGUAAAAACAGUGGGAGUAAAAAGAAGAUUGAAUUACUUCAAGAUCUUUAGGAAUACAUGCACAAGAAAGGAAAGAAAUCUAAACUAUAAACAGGUUUUGCUCAUAAAAUUAAGACUAAUUAAAUUUAUUUUCAGCAUUCUAUAAUAAUACUUUUAAAAUAUGCACAUUUUGAUGACUAAUAUUUUUAGUGAUUAAGAAUUAACUUAUGAAACUGCACAUGAGUGACAAGAGUUGUUAUGGAUGGGGUGAAUGUGAUUAGACUUUGGCCUAUUACAGCAAUCCCUCUUGACACACACCCCAAAACGCCCAAGUUAACCAUUAGUUUUGGGGGGAAAGUGCACGUGUUAGCAAUAUUUGAAGCUUCUCUCCACACUGUAAAAAGUCAUUUCAACUUACUUUGAAUUUUGUAUAACUAAUAAAAUUUAAAAUAUCGAUAAAAUUUCAAAUAUCAAUAAGUUAAAGUAAUGUAAAAACAUGUUGUCAUGACUUAUUGAAUUAUUAUUAUUUUUUUUUUAAAUGUCAGUUUUAUAGUGCAGUUUCUUCAUAGUACAGUAUCUCGCUCUCAUCCCUUCACCAUAUCUCAGGCAAAUUCCUCAUGACAUGCUAGUUUUACUCAGCUUCUGCCAUUUGUUUUUGAACAUAACAUCAAUAGCACGCAAUUAGAUAAACGAAGCAGACAGCCACAACAUGGUAACCUAAUUGUAGGUGUCGCAAGAACAUUGUACUACUGACCCUUGGAGGGCGGAGCAUAAACACAGAACAUAUGAGGAUGAAAAGUUGGCGAAUCACUCUAAUCUUGGACACUUCCCAGCCAAAAUGCCACUGGAGCUGUAUCUCAAUCUGCAUUCCCAGCCAUGCCGCUUAGUCUUCCUAUUUGCCAAGAUAAAUAAAAUUCCCUUGAAUUCAAAGCCAUGGAUUUAUCUGUAGGUGAUUUAUUUUUGUUUUAAUCUAGCUGUUUUAUGGAGUUGUGCACUGGAGUCUUGAUGUAAGCUGUUUUACCUGAUCUACGUAUCUAACCCUUAAAUGUAGUUUUAUUGGUUUAACAUAAUGUAUUUUGGUUGAUAAAGUGAAUGUUUUUUGAAAAAAUCACAUUUUAUAUAAAGCAUAUUUUUAGGUUAAUGUUAUAUUCCAGUGUGCAUGCAAAAGCAUUUGGUUUCAGUGAAAUAGUUUUCUGUUGGCUAUGAGAUCUCAAUGACGGUCGGUUUUGGUGGGUUACAAGAUCUCAAUGACGGUUGGAUUUGCUUGGUUUUGAGAUUUCAAUGGCGGUCAGUUUUGCUGGGUUAUGAGAUUUCAAAGACGGUCGGUAUUGUUUCGUUACGAGUUUUUAAUGACGGUCGGUUGUGUUCCUUUGCGAAACGGUUUUGGUUACGAGACCUCAAUGACAGUCGUUUUUGCUGGGUUAUGCGAUCUCAGUGAUGGUAGGUUUUGGUGGGUUAUGAGAUCUAAGUGAUGGUAGGUUUUCAGUGUCAAUCGCUUUUUUCAUUACGCAAUUUCAAAUACGGUCAAUUUUGGUGGGUUACAUGAUCUCAGUAACGGUAGGUUUUGGUGGGUUAUGAAAUCUCAAUGAUGGUAGGUUUUCAGUGUCAAUCGUUUUUUUUCAUUACGAAACUUCAAAUACGGUCAAUUUUGGUGGGUUACGUGAUCUCAGUAACGGUAGGUUUUACUGGGUUACGUGGUCUUAGUGAUGGUAGGUUUUUUAUUACGAGAUUUCAAAAACGGUCAGUUUUGUUCCUUUGCGAAACGAUUUUGGUUACGAGAUCUCAAUUAUGUCAUUUUUGCUGGGUUAUGAGAUCUCAGUGAUGGAAGGUUUUGGUGGGUUACAAAAUCUCAGUGAUGGCUUUCAGUGCCAAUUGUUUUUUCCUUUUCAUUACGAGAUUUCAAAGACGGUAGGUUUUACUAAGUUACAAGUUUUCAAUCGCAGUCAGUUUUGGUGGGUUAUGAAAUCUCAAUGACAGUCGGUUUUGCUGGGUUAUGAGAUGUCAGUAACGGUAGGUUUUGGGGGUUACAAGAUCUCAGUGAUGGUAGGUUUUCAGUGUUUUUUUCAUUUAGAGAUUUCAAAUACGGUCAAUUUUGGUGGGUUACAUGAUCUAAGUGAUGGUAGGUUUCGGUGGGUUACGACAUCUCAAUGAUAGUAGGUUUUGCUGGAUUAUGAGAUUUCGAAGACAUAACCGGGUUACGAAAUUUCAGUGAUGGUAGGUUUUCAGUGUCAGUCAGUGUUUUCAUUAUGAGAUUUUAAAUACGGUCAAUUUGGUGGGUUACGUGAUCUCAGUGAUGGUAGGUUUUGGUGGGUUAAGAAAUCUCAAUAACGGUCUGUUUUGCUGAGUUAUGAGAUCUCAGUGACGGUAGGUUUUGGUGGGUUACAAGAUCUCAGUGAUGGUAGGUUUUGGUGGGUUAUGAGAUCUCAAUGAUGGUAGGUUUUGCUGGGUUAUGAGAUUUUAAAGACAGUCGGUAUUGUUUCGCUACGAGUUUUCAAUGACGUUCGGUUUUGUUCCAUUGCGAAACGGUUUUGGUUACGAGAUCUCAAUGACAGUCGGUUUUGCUGGGUUUCGAGAUUUCAAAGAUGGUCAGUAUUGUUUCAUUACGAGUUUUCAAUGGCAGUCGGUUUUGGUGGAUUGCGAGUUCGCAAUGAUGGUAUGUUUUCAGUGUCAGUCGUUUUUUUUAUUACGAGAUUUCAAAAACAGUCGGUUUUGCUUUGUUACGAGUUUUCAAUGGCGGUCGGUUUUGGUGGAUUACGUGAUCUUAGUGAUGGUAGGUUUUGGUGGGUUGCGAGAUCUCAAUGACAAAUAGAUUUUCUGGGUUAUGAGAUUUCAAUGAUGGUCGGUUUUGUUCGGUUACGAGAUCUCAAUGGUGGUCGGUUUUGCUGGUUACGAGUUUUCAAUGGCAGCUAGUUUUGGUGGGUUACGUGAUCUCAGUGAUGGUAGAUUUUGGUGGGUUACGAGAUCUCAGUGACGGUAGGUUUUCAGUGUCAGUCGUAUUUUUUUUUGUUACGAGAUUUCAAUGGCGGUCGGUUUUGGUGGGUUAUGUGAUCUCAGUGAUGGUAGGUUUUGGUGGGUUACGAGAUCUCAAUGGCGGUCAGUUUUGCUGGCUUAUGAGAUUGCAAAGACGGUCGGUAUUGUUUCGUUACAAGUUUUGAAUGGCGUUCGGUUUUGGUGGGUUGCGGGAUCUCAAUGACGGUAGGUUUUCAGUGUCGGUCGUUUUUUCAUUACGAGAUUUCAAAGACGGUCGGUUUUCUUUUGUUAACAGUUUUCAAAGGCGGUCGGUUUUGUUCCUUUGCGAAACGGUUUUGGUUACGAGAUCUCAAUGACGGUCAGUUUUGGUGGGUUACAUGAUCUAAGUAACGGUAGGUUUUGGUGGGUUACGAGAUCUCAAUGACGGUAGGUUUUGGUGGGUUACGAGAUCUCAAUGACGGUUGGUUUUCAGUGUCAGUCAUUUUUUUUCAUCACAAGAUUUCAAAUACGGUCAAUUUUGGUGGGUUACGUGAUCUCAGUGAUGGUAGGUUUUGGUGAGUUUCGAGAUCUCAAUGAUGGUAUGUUUUUCUGGGUUAUGAGAUUUCAAAGACGGUCGGUAUUGUUUCAUCACAAGUUUUUAAUGACGGUCGGUUUUGUUGGGUUACGUGAUCUCAGUGAUGGUAGGUUUUGCUGAGUUAUGAGAUCUCACUGACGGUAGGUUUUGGUGGGUUACAAGAUAUCAGUGAUGGUAGGUUUUGGUGGGUUAUGAGAUCUCAAUGAUGGUAGGUUUUGCUGGGUUAUGAGAUUUUAAAGACAGUCGGUAUUGUUUCGCUACGAGUUUUCAAUGACGUUCGGUUUUGUUCUAUUGCGAAACGGUUUUGGUUACGAGAUCUCAAUGACAGUCGGUUUUGCUGGGUUUCGAGAUUUCAAAGACGGUCAGUUUUGUUUCGUUACGAGUUUUCAAUGGCCGUCGGUUUUGGUGGGGUACGUGAUCUCAGUGAUGGUAGGUUUUGCUGGGUUGCGAGAUCUCAAUGACAAAUAGAUUUGCUGGGUUAUUAGAUUUCAAUGAUGGUCGGUUUUGUUCGGUUACGAGAUCUCAAUGGCGGUCGGUUUUGCUGGGUUACGAGAUUUCAAUGGCGGUCAGUUUUGGUGGGUUAUGUGAUCUCAUUGAUGGUAAGUUUUCAAUAUCAGUCAUUUUUUUAUUACGAGAUUUCAAAUACGGUCAAUUUUGGUGGGUUACGUGAUCUCAGUGAUGGUAGAUUUUGGUGGGUUAGGAGAUCUCAGUGACGGUAGGUUUUCAGUGUCAGUCGUAUUUUUUUUAUUACGAGAUUUCAAUGGCGGUCAGUUUUGGUGGGUUAUGUGAUCUCAGUGAUGGUAGGUUUUGGUGGGUUACGAGAUCUCAAUGGCGGUCAGUUUUGCUGGCUUAUGAGAUUGCAAAGACAGUCGGUUUUGUUUCGUUACGAGUUUUGAAUGGCGUUCGGUUUUGGUGGGUUGCGGGAUCUCAAUGACGGUAGGUUUUCAGUGUCGGUCGUUUUUUCAUUACGAGAUUUCAAAGACGGUCGGUUUUCUUUUGUUAACAGUUUUCAAAGGCGGUCGGUUCUGUUCCUUUGCGAAACGGUUUUGGUUACGAGAUCUCAAUGACAGUCGGUUUUGCUGGGUUUCGAGAUUUCAAAGACGGUCGAUAUUGUUUCAUUACGAGUUUUCAAUGGCAGUCGGUUUUGGUGGGUUGCGAGAUCGCAAUGAUGGUAUGUUUUCAGUGUCAGUCUUUUUUUUAUUACGAGAUUUCAAAAACAGUCGGUUUUGUUUCGUUACGAGUUUUCAAUGGCCGUCGGUUUUGGUGGGGUACGUGAUCUUAGUGAUGGUAGGUUUUGCUGGGUUGCGAGAUCUCAAUGACAAAUAGAUUUGCUGGGUUAUUAGAUUUCAAUGAUGGUCGGUUUUGUUCGGUUACAAGAUCUCAAUGGCGGUCGGUUUUGCUGGGUUACUAGAUUUCAAUGGCCGUCAGUUUUGGUGGGUUAUGUGAUCUCAUUGAUGGUAAGUUUUCAAUAUCAGUCAUUUUUUUAUUACGAGAUUUCAAAUACGGUCAAUUUUGGUGGGUUACGUGAUCUCAGUGAUGGUAGGUUUUGGUGGGGUACGAGAUCUCAAUGACGGUAGGUUUUGGUGGGUUACGAGAGCUCAAUGACGGUUGGUUUUCAGUGUCAGUCUUUUUUUUUCAUCACAAGAUUUCAAAUACGGUCAAUUUUGGUGGGUUAUGUGAUUUUAGUAACGGUAGGUUUUGGAAGGUUACAAGAUCUCAGCAAUGGUAGGUUUUCAGUGUCAGUCAUUUUUUUUCAUUGCGAGAGUUCAAAUACGGUCAAUUUGGUGGGUUAUGUGAUCUCAGUGAUGAUAGGAUUUGGUGGGUUAAGAGAUCUCAAUAACGGUCUGUUUUGCUGAGUUAUGAGAUCUCAGUGACGGUAGGUUUUGGUGGGUUACAAGAUCUCAGUGAUGGUAGGUUUUGGUGGGUUAUGAGAUCUCAAUGAUGGUAGGUUUUGCUGGGUUAUGAGAUUUUAAAGACAGUCGGUAUUGUUUCGCUACGAGUUUUCAAUGACAUUCGGUUUUGUUCCAUUGCGAAACGGUUUUGGUUACGAGAUCUCAAUGACAGUCGGUUUUGCUGGGUUUUGAGAUUUCAAAGACGGUCGGUAUUGUUUUUUUACGAGUUUUCAAUGGCAGUCGGUUUUGGUUGGUUGCGAGAUCGCAAUGAUGGUAUGUUUUCAGUGUCAGUCGUUUUUUUUAUUACGAGAUUUCAAAAACAGUCAGUUUUGUUUCAUUACGAGUUUUCAAUGGCCGUCGGUUUUGGUGGGUUACGUGAUCUUAUUGAUGGUAGGUUUUGGUGGGUUGCGAGAUCUCAAUGACCGUAGGUUUUGGUGGGUUACGAGGUCUCAAUGACGGUUGGUUUUCUGUGUCAGUCAUUUUUUUCAUUACGAGAUUUCAAAUACGGUCAAUUUUGGUGGGUUACGUGAUCUCAGUGAUGGUAGGUUUUGGUGGGUUUAGAGGUCUCAAUGAUGGUAUGUUUUGCUGGGUUAUGAGAUUUCAAAGACGAUCGGUAUUGUUUCGUUACGAGUUUUCAAUGACGAUCGGUUUUGUUCCUUCGCGAAACGGUUUUGGUUACGAGAUCUCAAUGGCGGUCGGUUUUGCUGGGUUACGAAAUUUCAAAGAUGGUCGGUAUUGUUUCGUUACCAGUUUUCAAUGGCGGUCGGUUUUGGUGGGUUAUGAGAUUUCAAUGACGUCGGUAUUGUUUCAUUACCAGUUUUCAAUGACAGUCGGUUUUGUUGGGUUACGUGAUCUCUGUGAUGGUAGGUUUUGCUGGGUUAUGAGAUUUCAAUGAUGGUCGGUUUUGUUCGGUUACGAGAUCUCAAUGGCCGUCGUUUUUUUUAUUACGAGAUUUCAAAAACAGUCGGUUUUGUUUCGUUACGAGUUUUCAGUGGCGGUCGGUUUUGGUGGGUUACGUGAUCUCAGUGAUGGUAGGUUUUGGCGGGUUACGAAACUUCAGUGAUGAUAGGUUUUCAGUGUCAGUCUGUUUUCAUUAUAAGAUUUCAAAUACGGUCAAUUUUGGUGGGUUGUGUGAUUUUAGUAACGGUAGGUUUUGGAAGGUUACAAGAUCUCAGCAAUGGUAGGUUUUCAGUGUCAGUCUGUUUUCAUUACGAGAGUUCAAAUACGGUCAAUUUGGUGGGUUAUGUGAUCUCAGUGAUGGUAGGAUUUGGUGGGUUAAGAGAUCUCAAUAACGGUCUGUUUUGCUGAGUUAUGAGAUCUCAGUGACGGUAGGUUUUGGUGGGUUACAAGAUCUCAGUGAUGGUAGGUUUUGGUGGGUUAUGAGAUCUCAAUGAUGGUAGGUUUUGCUGGGUUAUGAGAUUUUAAAGACAGUCGGUAUUGUUUCGCUACGAGUUUUCAAUGACGUUCGGUUUUGUUCCAUUGCGAAACGGUUUUGGUUACGAGAUCUCAAUGACAGUCGGUUUUGCUGGGUUUUGAGAUUUCAAAGACGGUCGGUAUUGUUUUUUUACGAGUUUUCAAUGGUAGUCGGUUUUGGUUGGUUGCGAGAUCGCAAUGAUGGUAUGUUUUCAGUGUCAGUCGUUUUUUUUAUUACGAGAUUUCAAAAACAGUCAGUUUUGUUUCAUUACGAGUUUUCAAUGGCCGUCGGUUUUGGUGGGUUACGUGAUCUUAGUGAUGGUAGGUUUUGGUGGGUUGCGAGAUCUCAAUGACCGUAGGUUUUGGUGGGUUACGAGGUCUCAAUGACGGUUGGUUUUCAGUGUCAGUCAUUUUUUUCAUUACGAGAUUUCAAAUACGGUCAAUUUUGGUGGGUUACGUGAUCUCAGUGAUGGUAGGUUUUGGUGGGUUUAGAGGUCUCAAUGAUGGUAUGUUUUGCUGGGUUAUGAGAUUUCAAAGACGAUCGGUAUUGUUUCGUUACGAGUUUUCAAUGACGAUCGGUUUUGUUCCUUCGCGAAACGGUUUUGGUUACGAGAUCUCAAUGGCGGUCGGUUUUGCUGGGUUACGAAAUUUCAAAGAUGGUCGGUAUUGUUUCGUUACCAGUUUUCAAUGGCAGUCGGUUUUGGUGGGUUACGAGAUCUCAAUGACAUUUGGUUUUGUUGGGUUAUGAGGUUUCAAAGGCGGUCUGUAUUGUUUCAUUACGAGUUUUCAAUGGCGGCCGGUUUUGGUGGGUUGUGAGAUCGCAUUGAUGGUAGGUUUUUAGUGUUUUUAGUUGUUUUUUUUAUUACGAGAUUUCAAAAACAGUCGGGUUUGUUUUGUUACAUGUUUUCAAGGGCAGUCUGUUUUGGUGGGUUAUGUGAUCUCAGUGAUGGUAGAUUUUGGUGGGUUACAAGAUCUCAAUGACGGUCGGUUUUGCUGGGAUAUGAGAUCUCAGUGACGGUAGCUUUGGUGGGUUACAAAAUCUCAUUGAUGGUAGGUUUUCAGUGUCAGUCGUUUUUUUGUUAAGAGUUUUCAAUGGCGGUCAGUUUUGGUCGGUUAUGUGAUCUCAGUGAUGGUAGGUUUUGGUGGGUUACGAGAUCUCAAUGGCGGUUAGUUUUGCUGGGUUAUGAGAUUGCAAAGACGGUCGGUAUUGUUUCGUUUCGAAUGGCGGUCGGUUUUGGUGGGUUGCGGGAUCUCAAUGACGGUAGAUUUUCAGUGUCGGUCGUUUUUUUAUUACGAGAUUUCAAAGACGGUUGGUUUGCUUUCGUUAAGAGUUUUCAAAGGCGGUAGGUUUUGUUCCUUUGCGAAACGGUUUUGGUUACGAGAUCUCAGCGACGGUCUAUUUUGGUGGGUUACAUGAUCUAAGUAACGAUAGGUUUUGAGAUCUCAAUGAUGGUAGGUUUUCAGUGUCAAUCUUUUUUUUUUUUUCAUUACAAGAUUUCAAAGACGGUCGGUUUUACUGGGUUACAAGAUCUUAGUGACGGUAGGUUUUGGUGGGUUACGAGAACUCAGUAAUGUCAGGUUUUCAAUGUCAGUUGUUUUUUUUCAUUACGAGAUUUCAAAAACAGUCAAUUUUGGUGGGUUACGUGAUCUCAGUGAUGGUAGGUUUUGGUGGGUUACGGAAUCUCAGUGAUGGUAGGUUUUGAUGAGUUACGAGAUCUCAAUUACGGUUGGUUUUGCUGGGUUAUGAGAUUUCAAUGAUUGUCGAAUUUGUUCGGAUAUGAGAUCUCAAUGAUUGUAGGUUUUGCUGGGUUAUGAGAUUUCAAAAAUGGUCGGUAUUGUUUCAUUACGAGUUUUCAAUGGCGGUCGGGUUUGGUGGGUUGCGGGAUCGCAAUGAUGGUACGUUUUCAGUGUCAUUCGUUUUUUUUAUUAUGAGAUUUCAAACACGGUCAAUUUUGGUGGGUUACGUGAUCUCAGUGAUGGUAGGUUUUGGUGGGUUACGAGAUCUAAAUGAUGGUUGGUAUUCAGUGUCAGUAAUUUUUUUUCAUUACGAGAUUUCAAAUACGGUCAGUUUUGGUGGGUUACGUGUUCUCAGUGAUGGUAGGUUUUGCUGGGUUAUGAGAUUUCAAAGACGAUCGGUAUUGUUUCGUUACGAGUUUUCAAUGACGAUCGGUUUUGUUCCUUUGCGAAACGGUUUUGGUUACGAGAUCUCAAUGGCGGUUGGUUUUGCUGGGUUACGAGAUUUCAAAGAUGGUCGGUAUUGUUUCGUUACCAGUUUUCAAUGGUGGUUGGUUUUGCUGGGUUACGAGAUUUCAAAGAUGGUCGGUAUUGUUUCGUUACGAGUUUUCAAUGACGAUCGGUUUUGUUCCUUUGGUAAACGGUUUUGGUUACGAGAUCUCAAUGGCGGUUGGUUUUGCUGGGUUACGAGAUUUCAAAGAUGGUCGGUAUUGUUUCGUUACCAGUUUUCAAUGGCGGUUGGUUUUGCUGGGUUACGAGAUUUCAAAGAUGGUCGGUUUUGUUUCGUUACGAGUUUUCAAUGGCGGUUGGUUUUGGUGGGUUACGUGAUCUCAGUGAUGGUAGGUUUUGGUGGGUUACAAGAUCUCAAUGACGAUUAGUUUUGCUGGGUUAUGAGAGUUCAAUGAUGGUCGGUUUUGUUCAGUUAUGAGAUCUCGAUGGCGGUCGGUUUUGCUGGGUUAUGAGAUUUCAAAGACGGUCGGCAUUGUUUCGUUACGAGUUUUUAAUGUGAAACGGUUUGGGUUACGAGAUCUCAAUGACGGUCGUUUUUGUUGGGUUAUGAGAUCUCAGUGAUGGUAGGUUUUGGUGGGUUAUAAAAUCUCAGUGAUGGUAGGUUUUCAGUCUCAGUCGUUUUUUUCAUUACGAGAUUUCAAAUACGGUUAAUUUUGUUGGGUUAUGAGAUCUCAAAGAUGGUAGGUUUUCAGUGUCUGUUGUUUUUUUUUCAUUACAAGAUUUCAAAGAUGGUUGGUUUCACUGGGUUACAAGAUCUUAGUGAUGGUAGGUUUUGGUGGGUUAUGAGAUCUCAAUGACGGUUGUUUUUGUUGGGUUAUGAGAUUUCAGUGAUGGUAGCUUUUGGUGGGUUACGAGAUCUCAGUGAUGGUAGGUUUUGGUGGGUUACGAGAUCUCCAUGGCCAUCGGUUUUGCUGAGUUAUGAGAUUUCAAAUACGGUCGGUUUUGUUUCGUUACGAGUUUUCAAUGACUGCCAAUUUUGUGCCUUUGCGAAACGGUUUUGGUUACGAGAUUUCAAUGACGGUCAGUUUUGCUGGGAUAUGAGAUUUCAAAGACGGUCAGUAUUGUUUCGUUACCAGUUUUCAAUGGCGGUCGGUUUUGGUGGGUUGCGUGAUCGCAAUGAUGGUAGGUUUGCAGUGUCAGUGGGGUUUUUCGAAUUUUCAGUGCCGGCUGGUUUUGUUUUGUUGCGAGUCUUCAGGGAUUGUCGGUAAAAUUCGCUUACAAGAUUUCAAUGACAUCUGUUUUAUUCAGUCAUGAGAUUUCAUUGACAGCCAGCUUUUUUCCAUUAAGAGAUUUCAAUGACAGUUGGUUUUGGUGGGUUGUGAGAUCUCAAUAAUGGUAGGUUUUGGUGGGUUACAAGAUCUCAAUUACGGUUUGAUUUUCUGGGUUAUGAAAUUUCAAUGAUGGUAUGUUUUGGUGGGUUAGGAGGUCUCAGUGAUGAGAUCGAAUAACGGUCAGUUUUGCUGGGUUUCAAUUACAUCUGUUUUAUUCUGUUAUUAUAUUUCAAUGAUGGCCAGUUUUGCUUGGUUACAAGAUUUCAAUGACAUCUGUUUUAUUCUGUUGUGAUAUUUCAAUGAUGGCUGGUUUUGUUCGGUUACGAGUCGGUUUUGGUGGGUUACGAGAUCUCAACGACAGUUAUUUUUGCUGGGUUACGAGAUCUCAGUGAUGGUAGGUUUUACUGGGUUAUGAGAUUUCAAUAACAGUCGGUUUUGGUGGGUUACGAGAUCUCAAUGAUGGCUGGUUAUAUUCGGUUACAAGAUUUCAAUGACAUCUGUUUUAUUCUGUUAUGAUAUUUCAGUGAUGGCCGGUUUUGUUCGAUUACGAGUCGGUUUUGGUGGGUUGCGAGAUCUCAAUGAUGGUAGGUUUUCAGUGUCAGUCGUUUUUUUUCUGUUAUACGAUUUCUUGUUCCUUUGUUUUUUUAUGAGAUUUCAAAGACGGUCGGUUUUGUUCGUUACAAUAUUUCAGUGACAGUUAGUUUUGUUCCAUUACGUGUUUUCAAUGAUGGUCGGUUAUAUUCGGUUACAAGAUUCCAAUGACAUCUGUUUUAUUUGGUUAUAUUUCAAUGAUGGCCGGUUUUGUUCGGUUAUGAAAUCUCAAUGAAUGUCGGUUUUGUUUCGUUACGAGAGUUCAAUGAUGGUCGGUUUUGUUCUUCUACGAAAUUUUAAAGACAGUUGAUUUAGUUUCAUUGCAAAAUUUCAAUGAUGGUUGGUUUUGUUCCUUUAAUAAGUCUCAAUUACGUUAAGUUUUGUUCCUUUAGGCUGGCCACACACUUGAAGAUUUUAAGCCUGAUUUUAAGCCCGAUUUGCACCCCUGAACGAUCUGGGUGCGUGUGUGGCCCGAUUCAAGGCUUGUCGCAAAUUAUUUUUUGUCCAUUACAUCUUCUAUUGUGUAGUGUCAUUACAGUUAUUUAAAGGGUUAGUUCACCCAAAAACCAAAAAUUCUGUCAUUAAUUACUCAUCAUGUAAUCACCCAUCAUGUCGUUCCACACCCGUAAGACCUUCGUUCAUCUUAGGAACACAAAAUGAGAUAUUAUUGAUAAAACCUGAGAGGUGUAUGACUUGUCCAUAGACUGCAAUUUAACCAACACUUUCAAGGUCCAGAAAGAUACUAAAGAUGUUGUCAAAAAAAGGUUGAUAUGACUACAGUGGUUCAACCUUACUUUUAUGAAGUGACAAGAAUAUUUUUUGUGUGCCAAAACAAAAAUAUCUAGUUUAUUCAACAAUGUCUUCUCUUCUGUGUUAUUUUCAUAUGUUGUUUAUGUCCAGCGCUUCCAGGUUCUACAUCAGAACGCUGACUCGUUAUUGGCCGGCUCCUGGAUCAGCAUCACACGCAUGCAUCUUGAUGCUCACAUGAUCAGCUUUGGCCAAUACUGAGCCGGCAUUUGGAUGUAAAUACGGAAUACUUCACUGUGCUUACUUACUACUGAGUUGGAGCUGGUUGGAGCUAUAAACUCUGCAGUGCUAUGGCCCUCCAGGAACUGAGUUUGAGACCACUGACUUAUAUGUUCAAUAAAUGUAUAAAUAUGUACCAUUUUUAUAAAUGUAUAAUACCAAUCUUAUGACAUGAAUUAAAUCUUUCAAGAUAUCAGCAGAGGAGGAUUAAACAACUCCACAAACAGCAUUACCAGCUUCACUUUUGACUAAACAGAUUGACUUAAUUUCACCAUUAAAUAAUUUUGUAUCUGUUUGGGACAGAAACAAGAUUUUUUUUCUAUACUGGCAGAUAAUUUUGCUUGUUUUAAGCAAAAACUCAAUAUUUACUUUUAUUUUAUUUUUUAAGAAAACACAUCACCUUAUUUUACUUAUCUAGUAAAAGCAUCUGGAAUUAAGAAUUUUUAGAUAUUUAGACUGGAAACAAGACAAAAAGAACUAAAUAAAAAAAAAGCAUUUUUUCCACAUAAUACACUUACAUUACAGACCCUAUGUUACAAUAACAUGAGAUCAUGCUAUAUUGUAGAAAUUAGUUAAAACUAAAAUGACAUGAUUAAGAUGACACACAAAAACAUCAAGAAUCAGCACAUAUAUCUCAAUAAUGGUGACAAUCAAAAGUGUCAUGCCAGAAUGCAUGCUGGGAACAAUAGUACAAAACUGCAUCACAGUAUGAAUAAAUUAUGCAACUGAAUUGUCCUUUUAUUUUCUUUAAUUCUAACCAUUUGCUUAUAUUUUUGCUGUGGUUUUUGUUCUGUCAUUUAGUAGCUUUUUGUGAUGUCCAGGGUUGAUCAGAUUGUCUGAAUAUUUUGUUGUCACCAUUGUUGAGAUUCUUACGCUGAUAUCUGUGUUUGCCAUGGUAGUUUAUUUAUCAAAGAAAGCUUUUAUUCAUUUAGAGUAGGAUUAAGAGGAAUGAUAUAGUCAACUUAUUACCUGUAAUAAGCAAAGCCAAUAUCACAAAUUUCAUGACACCUGAUUACAGACUCAUACCAUUUAUGUGGCCUGUGAAAUGCAUAGAUGACAUGCUGAUAUGAACAAUAACACUUUGUGCACAAAGCAGUGCCUAGCAAGCUUUAAAUUUCAUAACAUAUUUAAUUUGUGAUAGAAUAGAGGCUUAUAUAAAUAAAUAAAAAUGUAAAUAUCAUGUCUUUUCAAUCUGGUCUUCAGUUAAAUACAUUUAUCCAAAGUAGUGGUGCAAAUAAAAGGGGGAAACAGUAUAAAAGGUGGUGAAAUUGAAAUUAAUGAAAUUAAAUGAGAGAACAUAACAAAUGUUUAAUGUGUUAAUCAAUAGCAAAAAUUACUUUAAAUGAUUAGAUUAUUCCCUGUGAAAUAAAUAUUAAGGUCAAAGUGUACCAAGUGGGGCUGAUUUAUUUGUUUUCCCUAAAGCAGGCAUUAUAUGCGUUCCAAACAGUUACUUAACUAUAGUCAUACAUUAUGUUGAAAGUGAACUGGCCAGUAUAUGACACAGCAGAGAGGGCAAACUUCGAAGAUACAACCAUGAUGAAGUUUCUGGUCUUUGCUGUUCUGGUUGUUGGACGUAAGAAGCUUUUAAAGACUGAUCAUAUAUAGUAGUCUGACUGUUUUUAAGGUCUGGUAAUGACAUGCAUGGACAGUAGCUCUUAAUUUUCAUUCAAAUGCUUACAACUUUAUAUUUUUUACAUUUAAUUUUUUUUUAUAACAUUUAAAUAUGUUGAUAAAUGUUUAAACAAUUUUAUAACUUUUAAAAUGCCUAACAAUAUUUAUUGCUAUUAAAAAAAGCAUAAUGUGUUAUGUUUUACCUCAUCUUACGGAUGUGGGCUGCCCACCUACCCUCCUAUUGUGUCGAGGGUUGUGGGGGUGUGGAUGUCCGCCCUAACAGCUGGCCCUGGCAGGAAAAUGCACAUUCCAUUAAUCAUUCCAUUAAUUUUUGUAAUUUAACAGUUUAUUAAACCUUUAGACAAAACAUUAAAAUAAAAGUUUGCAUUUUGUUGUUGUUGUUGUCUUCUGUUCUUCUCAUCCAUCUUUUUCGAUUGUCAAUAACUAGCAAAUGGACCCCUUACUGAUAUCCUGCAGCAGGCUCUCCUGCCUGUGGUGGAUUACGUCACCUGCUCUAAGUCUGACUGGUGGGGCUCUCAGGUCACACAAAACAUGGUCUGCGCCGGUGAAGAUGGUGUUGUUGCUGGUAAUGUAAGGAGAUACUACUGACUUAUAUAUAUUUGUAAUCUUUAAUUACAAUUAACUUGAAUUGGCGUACAAUAACUCUCUAAACAUAGGCUACUUCAGGCAAGAUGAAAUGAAAAAUGAAAAUGAAAGCAAGUUCAGAUGGCUCAAUAAAGCUUGAAUACACUACACAAAAUCUGAACAGAUUUUAAAAUGCUAGGUAUCAUACGUUUGCUGACUUUGUAAAGAAUAAAACUGGGCAUUAUACAUUGACUGAGGAUCACACCCUAUCAGACUUUCACGUCAUUCUGAACAUAUGCAGAAACAUGCGCCUCCUGGCUAGGAGGCAAAUGGCAGAUGAAAACAGUGUUCUGAAAUCCAUGGUGAAAGGUCCAUGGUAUUGUGAGCUUUGGUUCAGGCCUGAGCUGCAUCCAAUACAGGAAGCCCACCGUUUUCAUUCCUUAGAGUGGCUACACUGACCGGAUCAGCAAGGUAAGUGUUUCAUAUUAACAAACAUGCAAAUGUCAUUUUGGAUAGUGUUUGUCAUAAUGGAAAAUACUGUGAUACUAUUGAAAAUCUUUUCCCUUUCUAAUCUCUUACAGAACAUGGCCAGCUAUUAAAGAUCAAACAGAAAAAUGGGUUUUGUAUCAUUGAUGCUUAAACAAUAAAAAUAUUAAACGAAAAGAAAGUUGUUUAAAUGUAUUUGCGCUAUACGUUAAUUUAUUUUUCAUUAUUUACAACAUUAUAAAUACACAAUUGAAAUGCACUUAUGACACAUAAGAGACAUAAGUUGUUAGUGGUGUUAGUCAAAAUUAUGAGAUCUCGUAGCUCAGAGAGUCAGUUUCAUGGUUUUAAUUUUAAGUUGCAAUUGACCAUUGUUUGUUAGCAUUUUACAAAUGUUCUUCUGACAUUUCCAGUCUCUCACUUUAAAAUUAAAUACAUCAGAUUCAGAGUACAAAUAUCUUCUGCUUUGGUUGGUAUUUGAAACCUAGUGGUUGUACUGUAAGUAGGUACCAGAGGCAUUUUAUUGGAACUGACCAUACUUAUUGAAUUUUUAAAUUCAUGAAUUUGCAAAAGAAUCCGAAACAGCAACAGGACAUGUGGCAUAUUCUCAGUGUAAGCUGUUAUUAAACAUGAUAUUUCAUGCGUAUGUAUAGCCUACAUACAAUAACAUCUUGAUGUAUUAUUGAAAACAAUGACCGAGAUUCAAAUAUUCAAUAAUAGUAAACUACCAAAAAGUGCCCAUGUGCAGGUUUGUUGUCAUGCAGAGGGGACACACAUUAAAAUUAAUUAUCUAGAUUUAGUGGUACAUGUAAAAAACAAAUUCUUCUUGCAUCAUUAACAGUCACAGCAAACAAUACAGAAACACUAUUUUUGCCACAAACAUUGCUUUAAUUGAUUUAAAACAUUUUGAGCACCCUCUACAUUUAUCUUGGCAAUAUUUCUAUAUUUAACCAUGGCAAUAUUCUGGAUUGAAAGAGGAAUUUUUGAAGACUCAGUCGAACAUGAUAAAUCAGAUCUUUAUCUUGAUCUGCUGAAACUCACUCACUGUGCAGCCACAGUGAUGUACCUCGGCUCCA